UGGGGAUUUGGCAUGGGCGCAGCCUGNCCAGCCUGCCGCGUGAGUGAUGAAGGCCCUAGGGUUGUAAAGCUCUUUCACCGGUGAAGAUAAUGACGGUAACCGGAGAAGAAGCCCCGGCUAACUUCGUGCCAGCAGCCGCGGUAAUA
rnacentral:rRNA from 1 species